GGUGAACCCCAGAGACAAUGUCGGCUCGCAUGUUAUGGAAAGCGUGUGGACAUUUCCUCGGUGCGGCCACUGCUGCAUGUACUACCUCUUGUUCGCGAAGCACGCGUUGAUGUUAGACAGUGCUGACAGGUUUCACCGGAGUAUGUAUAGUGAUUUAAGGUUGGGGGGAUGUGGGGAUGCGCGACUCUCACGCGUCCCCUGAUGUUGUUUUCCCCGCAUGGCUCCCGUAAUACGGCUUCGCCGCAUAGCUUUAUGGCGGCGGAGUUGCGGCGCAUUGCGAGAGAUGUCGCGAUACUAACGCCACCGAACGGCGGGGUGACUUGGGAGAAAAAGGUCGAAGGUGCUCUCUCUUGGGGAUUGGGAUCGGCGGCCAACACGCACGAACGCUUCGCGCGUGCGCCGGCCCGCUUCGCGCAACCGUCGCGCGAGGCUAACAGCAGGAAACAGGUAUGGACGAACACGGAUCGUUCGAGCGCGCCACCGUUCGCGUGACUGUACACGUGAACGACUAGGCGAUGGUGUCAUAGCAUGGGGCGAACGUAUUCGCUCGCUAUCGGGUCGCGGUGAGUCGGACUUCCUUGAUUUGUCGCGCGCCCGUGUGAAUGUUCAAUUGGUUGUAAUUCGGCUAGUGUGCAUUAGUGUAUGAAAGGUGCAAUAAAUGCCCUUUUGAUUGUUUGCACUACUGCGUUGUCGUUCCUUUGUCCCAAGAGCACAUGUGAGAC